rnacentral:rRNA from 1 species
UCGGAUUGUAGUCUGCAACCCGACUACAUGAAGCUGGAAUCGCUAGUAAUCGCAGAUCAGAAUGCUGCGGUGAAUACGUUCCCGGGUCUUGUACACACCGCCCGUCACACCAUGGGAGUUGGAAAUGCCCGAAGUCGGUGACCUAACCGAAAGGGAGGAGCCGCCGAAGGCAGGUCUGAUAACUGGGGUGAAGUCGUAACAAGGUACC